UGGGGAAUAUUGCACAAUGGGCGCAAGCCUGAUGCAGCGACGCCGCGUGAGGGAUGGAGGCCUUCGGGUUGUAAACCUCUUUCGCCAGUGAAGCAGGCCAUCUUCUUUGUGGGGUGGUUGACGGUAGCUGGAUAAGAAGCGCCGGCUAACUACGUGCCAGCAGCCGCGGUAAUACGUAGGGCGCGAGCGUUGUCCGGUAUUAUUGGGCGUAAAGAGCUCGUAGGCGGCUGGUCGCGUCUGUCGUGAAAUCCCCUGGCUUAACUGGGGGCUUGCGGUGGGUACGGGCCGGCUUGAGUGCGGUAGGGGAGACUGGAAUUCCUGGUGUAGCGGUGGAAUGCGCAGAUAUCAGGAGGAACACCGGUGGCGAAGGCGGGUAUCUGGGCCGUUACUGACGCUGAGGAGCGAAAGCGUGGGGAGCGAACAGG
rnacentral:rRNA from 1 species